AUUGAACGCUGGCGGAAUGCUUUACACAUGCAAGUCGAACGGCAGCACGGACUUCGGUCUGGUGGCGAGUGGCGAACGGGUGAGUAAUACAUCGGAACGUGCCCAAUCGUGGGGGAUAACGUAGCGAAAGCUACGCUAAUACCGCAUACGAUCUAAGGAUGAAAGCGGGGGAUCGCAAGACCUCGCGCGAUUGGAGCGGCCGAUGGCAGAUUAGGUAGUUGGUAGGGUAAAGGCCUACCAAGCCGACGAUCUGUAGCUGGUCUGAGAGGAUGAUGAGCCACACUGGGACUGAGACACGGCCCAGACUCCUACGGGAGGCAGCAGUGGGGAAUUUUGGACAAUGGACGCAAGUCUGAUCCAGCCAUUCCGCGUGCAGGAUGAAGGCCCUCGGGUUGUAAACUGCUUUUGUACAGAACGAAAAGGCUCUGGUUAAUACCUAGGGCUCAUGACGGUACUGUAAGAAUAAGCACCGGCUACCUACGUGCCAGCAGCCGCGGUAA
rnacentral:rRNA from 1 species